AUCCAACUGAUGAGUCCCAAACAAGAUGAAACGCUCGUGCUAGAU
rnacentral:hammerhead_ribozyme from 1 species